UCAAGAGUGUAUAACCCCCCUUGUAAAAUAGUGGGGUUAACCUCCCGUCCUUUGCUUGACCCCUCCCUUUUUUUUUUAGAAGGGGGGUUGCAUUUUGAUAUCUGCUUCGGUGGGGUUUACCCACCGAAACACCCUCAAAAUACUUUUAAAAUCAUUCAGUCCGAGAAUUUUUUGAAUUAAUACA
rnacentral:misc_RNA from 1 species